UACAGAGGGGGCAAGCGUUUGUCGGAAUUACUGGGCGUAAAGGGCGCGUAGGCGGCUUUAUAAGUCGGGGGUGAAAGCCUGUGGCUCAACCACAGAAUUGCCUUCGAUACUGUAGAGCUUGAGACCGGAAGAGGUAAGUGGAACUGCGAGUGUAGAGGUGAAAUUCGUAGAUAUUCGCAAGAACACCAGUGGCGAAGGCGGCUUACUGGUCCGGUUCUGACUGCUGAGGCGCGAAAGCGUGGGGAGCAACA
rnacentral:rRNA from 1 species